CCCUUAGAUGUCCGGGGCCGCACGCGCGCUACACUGAAGGAAUCAGCGUGGCUUUCUCCCUGACCCGAAAGGGUUGGGAAACCCGUUGAAUCUCCUUCGUGAUAGGGAUUGGGGCUUGAAAUUGUUCCCCAUGAACGAGGAAUUCCCAGUAAGCGCGAGUCAUAAGCUCGCGUUGAUUACGUCCCUGCCCUUUGUACACACCGCCCGUCGCACCUACCGAUUGAAUGGUUCGGUGAAGAUCUCGGACUUCGAUAUUUGUUCUUCAUUGAACUUAUAUAGUGGGAAGUUAUCUGAACCUCAUCAUUUAGAGGAAGGUGAAGUCGUAACA
rnacentral:rRNA from 1 species